rnacentral:lncRNA from 1 species
UAUGACAGUGGUGAUUCUGAGACCAAGGCAAGUGGCCUAAAUCAGUUCAAAGGACCCUGGGGUCAGCUGACCCACCCAACCACAGUCUGCACCUGCGCCCUGCCACCUCUCAUUUCUUACAAAUGCUGAUGGCCACCACAGUCACCACUGGGCCAUGCAGGGGAAACUCCAGUGCCUGGGUUUCACAGUGCCACUGCCAGACCACCUGCAUGUGAGGAUGGCUGACAAGGAGAAAGCCUUGGUAAGGUCAUCCUUGGCCCAGCCAAUGCCACAGGCUCAGGCUCCUGCCUCUGCUCCCCGCUUCUACCCCGAGGAGUGUGGGACAUGGAUGCUGCCCCAACCUGUAACAUCACACCACCCAAGAAGGCAGGGA